rnacentral:rRNA from 1 species
AGCAGCCGCGGUAAUUCCAGCUCCAAUAGCGUAUAUUAAAGUUGUUGCAGUUAAAAAGCUCGUAGUUGAAUUUCGGGAUCAAUAUUUCGGUCAUGCCGUUGGUAUGCACUGUUAUCAUUGAUUUUCUCACCUUCUAAAGAACCGUGAUGCCAUUAAUUUGGUGUUACGGGGAAUUAGGAACUGUUACCUUGAAAAAUUAGAGUGUUUAAAGCAGGCUCACGCUUGAAUACAUUAGCAUGGAAUAAUGAAAUAGGACAUCCGAUUUCUAUUUUGUUGGUUUCUAGGAUCGAUGUAAUGAUUAAUAGGGAUAGUUGGGGGCAUUAGUAUUCAAUUGUCAGAGGNGAAAUUCUUGGAUUUAUUGAAGACUAACUAACUGCGAAAGCAUUUGCCAAGGAUGUUUUCAUUAAUCAAGAACGAAAGUUAGGGGGAUCGAAGACGAUCAGAUACCGUCGUUAGUCUUUAAACCAUAAAACUAUGCCGACUAGGGAUCGGAUGAUGUUAAUUUUUAAUGACUCA